rnacentral:rRNA from 1 species
UACGGAGGGGGCUAGCGUUGUUCGGAAUUACUGGGCGUAAAGGGCGCGUAGGCGGUGCGAUCAGUCAGGCGUGAAAGGCCCGGGCUCAACCCGGGGACUGCGCUUGAUACUGUUGCGGCUGUGAGUCCGGGGAGAGGAUGGCGGAAUUCCCAGUGUAGAGGUGAAAUUCGUAGAUAUUGGGAAGAAACACCGGUGGCGAAGGCGGCCAUCUGGACCGGCACUGACGCGUGAGGCGGACGAAAGCGGUGGGGAGCAAACAGG